AGUGAACGCUGGCGGUAGGCCUAACACAUGCAAGUCGAACGGCAGCACAGUAAGAGCUUGCUCUUACGGGUGGCGAGUGGCGGACGGGUGAGGAAUACAUCGGAAUCUACUUUUUCGUGGGGGAUAACGUAGGGAAACUUACGCUAAUACCGCAUACGACCUACGGGUGAAAGCAGGGGAUCUUCGGACCUUGCGCGAUUGAAUGCGCCGAUGUCGGAUUAGCUAGUUGGCGGGGUAAAGGCCCACCAAGGCGACGAUCCGUAGCUGGUCUGAGAGGAUGAUCAGCCACACUGGAACUGAGACACGGUCCAGACUCCUACGGGAGGCAGCAGUGGGGAAUAGUGGACAAUGGGCGCAAUCCUGAUCCAGCCAUACCGCGUGGGUGAAGAAGGCCUUCGGGUUGUAAAGCCCUUUUGUUGGGAAAGAAAAGCAGCAGGUUAAUACCCCGCUGUUCUGACGGUACCCAAAGAAUAAGCACCGGCUAACUUCGUG
rnacentral:rRNA from 1 species